GGAUGUCGUUAAGCCACCAUCGACCAGCGCGCGUUGAUCCUGAUAAACGGCCUGCCAUUUUUCUCUGGCCUGCUGGUAGACAGCG
rnacentral:tRNA from 1 species